UACGUAGGGUGCAAGCGUUGUCCGGAAUUAUUGGGCGUAAAGAGCGUGUAGGCGGCCCGGUAAGUCCGCUGUGAAAGUCCAGGGCUCAACCCUGGGAUGCCGGUGGAUACUGUCGAGCUCGAGUCCGGAAGAGGCGAGUGGAAUUCCUGGUGUAGCGGUGAAAUGCGCAGAUAUCAGGAGGAACACCAAUGGCGAAGGCAGCUCGCUGGGACGUGACUGACGCUGAGACGCGAAAGCGUGGGGAGCAAACAGG
rnacentral:rRNA from 1 species